rnacentral:rRNA from 1 species
UACGUAGGGGGCAAGCGUUGUCCGGAAUCAUUGGGCGUAAAGAGCGUGUAGGCGGCUCGUUAAGUCCGCUCUGAAAGCCCGGGGCUCAACCCCGGGAGGCGGGCGGAUACUGUCGAGCUAGAGUCCGGAAGAGGCGAGUGGAAUUCCUGGUGUAGCGGUGAAAUGCGCAGAUAUCAGGAGGAACACCAAUGGCGAAGGCAGCUCGCUGGGACGGUACUGACGCUGAGACGCGAAAGCGUGGGGAGCAAACAGG